UACGGAGGGAGCUAGCGUUGUUCGGAAUUACUGGGCGUAAAGCGCACGUAGGCGGCUUUGUAAGUUAGAGGUGAAAGCCCGGGGCUCAACCCCGGAAUUGCCUUUAAGACUGCAUCGCUUGAAUCCAGGAGAGGUGAGUGGAAUUCCGAGUGUAGAGGUGAAAUUCGUAGAUAUUCGGAAGAAUACCAGUGGCGAAGGCGGCUCACUGGACCGGCAUUGACGCUGAGGUGCGAAAGCGUGGGGAGCAAACAGG
rnacentral:rRNA from 1 species